rnacentral:lncRNA from 1 species
GUAAGAUACCAGCCCCUGGAUUGUGGUGCCCGAAGCCCGUAAUCCGAAAAAAAGUAAUUGGGGGGGGGGGCCGGAAACACCGAAGUUAAUUUUUUUUCUUUUUUUUUUUUUUUUUUUGCUUUGUUAUAUGUCUUUUGUUUUGCUCUGUUUUUGUUGUGUUGUCUUUCAUUUCAUUUCAUUUCAUUUUCUUUUGUUUUUAUUUUUGUUUUGCUGUCUUUUGUUUUGUUCUUUUUUCCCGUUUUUUUUUUUGUUGUUGUCUUUUGUUUUUUUUCUGUUUUGUUUUUAUGUCUUUUGUUUUUUGUUAUGUUUUAUUUUUUAAUACAUGGAUUUGAUGUUUUGUCUUGUUCUUUUGUUUUGUUUCUUUUUCCGUUUUUUUUUUGUUGUUGUCUUUGUUUUUUUCUGUUUUGUUUUUAUGUCUUUUGUUUUUGUUAUGUUUAUUUUUAAUUACAUGGAUUUGAUUUUUAAUCGGUGAAUUCAUGCAGUGUGAUGGUUUCUGGGAUAGGUAAUAAUACAUACUCCAGGCAGUAGUGUCAAAGGUCUUCUCCUGCUUUAAAACGCUGUGUUCUGUGUUCAGGUGCAGAUUUGGCUGGUAAGGGCUGGAAGGAGAGCCUGUCUGCCAGCUACAGCAGCUCUACCAGUGGGAACUGGAGCUGGGAUGCCAGCGACCAAUCGGUGCCCUCCACGCCGUCCCCGCCCCUCUCCAACGAUGCCGGCAAGAGCUUCCUGCUUUCCUCCCAGAGUGAUGACAACAUUGAGGAAACCGAGAGUACACACUUCCUGUUUGAGGACCACAUCCCCCGAAAAAGAAAGAAACUCAGGAAUCAAGCAUGUUAGACAAACAGAGAUGAGAUUUAGAGCAAGAGGGGAAACGAGUGCUGGUGAAAGUGACAGAAGGGCGCAGGAGGUGUGAGUAUCCCACACACAUCAUCUGGCAGUGUCACUGUUGUUUUGAACUGUUUUAAUAGUUGUGUCACUGCAGCAGUGAAGGGCCUUUGUGCUGGAGGGAAUUUCUACUGCCAAAUUAUAUUUGGCUCUUCAAGGUGUUCUUUCCUUUUUUGUUAAAUAAAGCUGAAAUAAAAUAAAAUAUAAAUAUAAGUAUGUGAUGAAAAACGUAAAACAAAUAAAUGCUAAUUCAAAAUAAAUAUAGUGGUUUAUGAAUAAUACCAUUUUUUUAAAACAUUGCUACAAAAUAUCUCAGAUAUUCAGAACACUUAAAGAUGCUCUUAAUUAUUAUUCUGUAAUAAUUAUUCUUGAAAGUGGGUUUUAUAUUUAUAGCAAUAAGGCAGGAC